GUAAUACUUCCUCCGUCCCAAAAUUCUUGUCCUAGAUUUGUCUAGAUACGGAUGUAUCUAACGUAACUAGAUACAUCCGUAUUUAGACAAAUCUAAGACAAGAAUUUUGGGACGGAGGGAGUAUUAU
rfam:Triticum aestivum genome assembly, contig: Triticum_aestivum_CS42_TGACv1_scaffold_062233_1DL